AUGGAAAGGUUAUAUAUGCAUGAGCAUCCAUUUGUUGUUUCCUUUGAGCUCACUCCACAGACAAACACAAAGUGGAACAAGAGGGUUUAUGUGCUGCUCAAACUUCUACAACUUUUCUGCCAUCUCUCUUCUCCUUUUAUUCAGUUAUGGAAGGAAAAUGUUGGUUUGUGCCCCGCCCUGCGCGCAGCCAUGAUCCACAUCGUGCUUGCGAUCCGACAAAGAUGUGAAGGAGGCGCGAGACUCCCACGAGGUAGUGAGAUAAAUAAGCUAACAAUUCACGCACAUAACAGACAUGGCGCUCAACUGUCUAAUUGGCAAAAAUGA
rnacentral:rRNA from 1 species